UUACAGCCACAUCACAUUGAAAACACAGGUUCCCAUAUUAUCACCAAAGUUAAGCAAUGUCAAGCCUGGUCAGUACCUAGAUAGGUGACUGCUUGGGAAUACUAGGUGCUGCAAG